UCAGGAAAUAGUUUAAUGUAGAACUCUAGCUUUGGGGGCUAGUAGUAGGAAUUUAAGUUUUCUUUUUCUGA
rnacentral:tRNA from 1 species